rnacentral:rRNA from 1 species
AGAGUGUGAUCCUGGCUCAGAAUCAACGCUGGCGGCGUGCCUAACACAUGCAAGUCGAGCGAGAAAAGGGUAGCAAUAUCCUGAGUAAAGCGGCGCACGGGUGAGUAACACGUGGGUAAUCUGCCCUGGAGUGGGGAAUAACACCGGGAAACCGGUGCUGAUACCGCAUACGAUAACGAGGUCUGCGGACUUUGUUAUGAAAGGAGCAAUUCGCCUCCAGGAAGAGCCCGCGGCUGAUUAGCUAGUUGGUGAGGUAAUGGCUCACCAAGGCUUCGAUCAGUAUCCGGUCUGAGAGGACGGUCGGACACACUGGGAACUGAGACACGGUCCAGACUCCUACGGGAGGCAGCAGUGGGGAAUUUUUGGCAAUGGGGGCAACCCUGACCAAGCAACGCCGCGUGGGUGAUGAAGUCUCUUGGGACGUAAAACCCUUUCGACGG